AACAGGAUUAGAUACCCUGGUAGUCCACGCCCUAAACGAUGUCAACUGGUUGUUGGGAGGGUUUCUUCUCAGUAACGUAGCUAACGCGUGAAGUUGACCGCCUGGGGAGUACGGCCGCAAGGUUGAAACUCAAAGGAAUUGACGGGGACCCGCACAAGCGGUGGAUGAUGUGGUUUAAUUCGAUGCAACGCGAAAAACCUUACCUACCCUUGACAUGCCAGGAAUCUUGCAGAGAUGUGAGAGUGCUCGAAAGAGAACCUGGACACAGGUGCUGCAUGGCCGUCGUCAGCUCGUGUCGUGAGAUGUUGGGUUAAGUCCCGCAACGAGCGCAACCCUUGUCAUUAGUUGCUACGAAAGGGCACUCUGAUGAGACUGCCGGUGACAAACCGGAGGAAGGUGGGGAUGACGUCAGGUCAUCAUGGCCCUUAUGGGUAGGGCUACACACGUCAUACAAUGGCCGGGACAGAGGGCUGCCAACCCGCGAGGGGGAGCUAAUCCCAGAAACCCGGUCGUAGUCCGGAUCGCAGUCUGCAACUCGACUGCGUGAAGUCGGAAUCGCUAGUAAUCGCGGAUCAGCUUGCCGCGGUGAAUACGUUCCCGGGUCUUGUACACACCGCCCGUCACACCAUGGGAGCGGGUUCUGCCAGAAGUAGUUAGCCUAACCGCAAGGAGGGCGAUUACCACGGCAGGGUUCGUGACUGGGGUGAAGUCGUAACAAGGUAACC
rnacentral:rRNA from 1 species